GGGGCCGUAGCUCAGUUGGGAGAGCGCCGCCUUUGCACGGCGGAGGUCAGGGGUUCGAAUCCCCUCGGCUCCA
rnacentral:tRNA from 5 species